rnacentral:rRNA from 1 species
CCUACGUGAGGCAGCAGUGGGGAAUAUUGGACAAUGGGCGAAAGCCUGAUCCAGCCAUGCCGCGUGUGUGAAGAAGGCCUUCGGGUUGUAAAGCACUUUCAGUGGGGAAGAAAGCCUUGGGGCUAAUACCCUCGAGGAAGGACAUCACCCACAGAAGAAGCACCGGCUAACUCCGUGCCAGCAGCCGCGGUAAUACGGAGGGUGCGAGCGUUAAUCGGAAUUACUGGGCGUAAAGCGCGCGUAGGCGGUCUGAUAAGCCGGUUGUGAAAGCCCCGGGCUCAACCUGGGAACGGCAUCCAGAACUGUCAGGCUAGAGUGCAGGAGAGGAAGGUAGAAUUCCCGGUGUAGCGGUGAAAUGCGUAGAGAUCGGGAGGAAUACCAGUGGCGAAGGCGGCCUUCUGGACUGACACUGACGCUGAGGUGCGAAAGCGUGGGUAGCAAACAGGAUUAGAUACCCGAGUAGUC